GGUCUGGCGGCGAGUGGCGAACGGGUGAGUAAUGUAUCGGAACGUGCCCAGUAGCGGGGGAUAACUACUCGAAAGAGUAGCUAAUACCGCAUACGCCCUACGGGGGAAAGGGGGGGAUCGCAAGACCUCUCACUAUUGGAGCGGCCGAUAUCGGAUUAGCUAGUCGGUGAGGUAAAGGCUCACCAAGGCGACGAUCCGUAGCUGGUUUGAGAGGACGACCAGCCACACUGGGACUGAGACACGGCCCAGACUCCUACGGGAGGCAGCAGUGGGGAAUUUUGGACAAUGGGGGCAACCCUGAUCCAGCCAUCCCGCGUGUGCGAUGAAGGCCUUCGGGUUGUAAAGCACUUUUGGCAGGAAAGAAAUCGCAUGGAUUAAUACUCUGUGUGGAUGACGGUACCUGCAGAAUAAGCACCGGCUAACUACGUGCCAGCAGCCGCGGUAAUACGUAGGGUGCAAGCGUUAAUCGGAAUUACUGGGCGUAAAGCGUGCGCAGGCGGUUCGGAAAGAAAGAUGUGAAAUCCCAGGGCUUAACCUUGGAACUGCAUUUUUAACUCCCGAGCUAGAGUGCGUCAGAGGGGGGUGGAAUUCCGCGUGUAGCAGUGAAAUGCGUAGAUAUGCGGAGGAACACCGAUGGCGAAGGCAGCCCCCUGGGAUGACACUGACGCUCAUGCACGAAAGCGUGGGGAGCAAACAGGAU
rnacentral:rRNA from 1 species